GUCAGGGGCGCCGAAAGGCUGAGAAGUACCCUUUGAACCUGAACCGGAUAAUGCCGGCGGAGGGAGGCGGU
rnacentral:ncRNA from 1 species